rnacentral:sRNA from 1 species
AUCGCGRCGACGUGGGCGGUUCGCUGCCCGCGACGUCGCGAGAAGUCCACUGAACCUUAUCAUUUAGAGGAAGGAGAAGUCGUAACAAGGUUUCCGUAGGUGAACCUGCGGAAGGAUCAUUGUCGAAUCCUGCAAAGCAGACGACCCGCGAACUCGUUACACCGCGGGCUUCGGUCGGGGGACUUCCCCCGUCGGUCGCCCCUCUCGGCAGGCCGGCGCGCCCGGUCCGCCGAACAACAACAAACCCCCGGCGCAGGAAGCGCCAAGGACUACUCAACAGGACCGCCCUCCCCCGGCUCGGUCGUUCGCGGCGCGAGUCGCGGGAUCAAGGGCUCCUCGUCGAAUAAACGACUCUCGGCAACGGAUAUCUAGGCUCUCGCAUCGAUGAAGAACGUAGCAAACUGCGAUACUUGGUGUGAAUUGCAGAAUCCCGUGAACCAUCGAGUUUUUGAACGCAAGUUGCGCCCGAAGCCAUCCGGCCGAGGGCACGCCUGCCUGGGCGUCACGCAUCGCGUCGCCUCCCCUCCCCUCGCCCCGUGGACGGGGCAGGGGGCAUCCGGGAGGGCGGAAAAUGGCCUCCCGUGCUGGCGCGCGGCCGGCCUAAACCCGAGUCCCUCCCCACGGACGUCACGACAAGUGGUGGUUGAAGAUCCUCGACUCGUACGCGCGUCGUGCGACACCCCGUGGCCGAGGAGACCGACGGACCCUCAGGCGAGCCCCUCUCGAGGAGCGCACGCCACGACCGCGACCCCAGGUCAGGCGGGACUACCCGCUGAGUUUAAGCAUAUCAAUAAGCGGAGGAAAAGAAACUAACACGA